rnacentral:lncRNA from 1 species
GUUUUAUUUACUGCUUUUCAGAGUGGUUGUGCUAAUUUGCAGUCCCACUGACAAUGUAUCAGUGUAUCUUUCCCUCUCAAUUUCUGCCAGCAUUUAUCAUUCUUUUUUUUUAAUAUCUUUAUUUAGUUUAUUUAUUUUUUUUAUGUGGUGCUAAGGAUCGAACCCAGAGUCUCACAUGUGCAAGGCGAGCGCUCUACCGCUGAGCCACACCCCAGCCCCAACAUUUAUUAUUCUUGUUCUUGCUAACAGCCAUUCAAACUGGAGUGAGAUGGAAUCUUAGUGUAGUUUUGAUUUGCAUUUUCCUGGUUGCUAGAGAUGUUGAACUUUUUUUUUCAUAUAUUUUUUACCAUUUGUUUCUUUUGAAAUGUCUGUUUAGUUCUCUAGCUUACUUAUUGAUUUGGGUUAUUUGUGUAUUGGUGUUGAGUUUUCUGAGUUCUUUUUAUAUCCUAGAUAUUGGUCCCCUGUUAGAGGAGGAGCUGGCAAAGAUUUUUUUCCCAAUCAAUAGGCUCUUUCUUCACUCUCUUAAUCCUUUCUUUUGAUGUACAGAGGCUUUUUAAUUUUAUGGCAUCCAAUUUAUUGACUGUUGGUUUUAUUUAGGGUCUUGUUAAGGAAAUUGGUGCCUGCACCUAUAUGAUGGAGUGUGAACGCUGUGUUUUCUUCAAGCAUUCGUAAGGUUUCUGGUAUAAUUCCAAGUCUGAUCCAAUUUGAUUUGACAUUUGUGCAGAGUGAGAGAUAGGAAUCUAUUUUCAUUUUUCUACAUAUGCAUACCCAGUUUUCCCAGCACAAUAUUAAUUCUGCCUGAACAUGAGAGGUAUUUCCAACUUCUAAGAUCUUCUUCAGUUUCUUUAUCCAGUGUUCUAUAGUUGUUAUUGUAUAGAUCUUUCGCCCCAUAGUUAGAUUAAUUACCAGGGUUUUUUUUAGGUUAUUUGAAAUGGAUGGUCUUCCUUAUUACUUUCUCAGUAGAAUUACUAUUGGAGUAUAAAGUAUAGAAAAGAAAUUGAUCUGUUUAGGUUUCCUAUAUCUUCCUAGUUCAAUUUGGGCAGGUCAUAUUUGUCUGGAAAUUUUCAAGUCUUCUAGAUUUUUAAGUUUAUUGGAAUAUAAAUUUUCAAAAUACUUUAUGAUCCCUUGAAUUUCAUAAGAGUCUGUGGUAUUACCUACUUUUUCAUCUCUAAUUUUGUUAAUUUGGGUCUUCUCUCUCUUUCUUUUGGUUAGUUUGACUAAGGGUUUAUCAAUCUUAUUUGUCUUUUCAAAGAACUAACUCUUUGUUGCAUUGAUCCUGGGUAUUUUUUUUAUUUUCAAUGUCAUUAAUUUCUAUUCUGAUCUUAAUUACUUCCUGUCUUCUACUGAUUUUUGGAUUAGUUAUUACUUUUAUAAGGCCUUGAGGCAGAAUAUAUUUAUUUGGAAUCUAUUUUUUUGAGGGAGUACUGGAGAUUGAACCACUGAGCCACAUCCAGCCUUUUUUUUUUUUUUUUUUUGAGAGAGAGAGAAGAGAGACAGAGAGAGAGAGAGAGAGAAUAUUUGUAAUAUUUAUUUUUUAGUUUUCAGCAGGCACAACAUCUUUGUUUGUAUGUGGUGCUGAGGAUCGAACCCGGGCCACAUGCAUGCCAGGCAAGCGUGCUACCACUUGAGCCACAUCCCCAGCCCCCUUCUUUAAAAAAAAAUUUAGAUGUUGAUGGACCUUUAUUUUAUUCAUUUAUUUAUAUAUGGUGCUGAACCAAGUGCCUCACACAUACUAGGUAAAAGCACUCUACCACUGAGCCACAACCCCAGCCCCCCUAGCCCAUCUUUUUUAUUUUGAGACAGGGUCUCUCUAAGUUGCUUAAGACCUCACGAACUUGCUGAGCCUGGCUUAGAACUUGUGAUUCCCCUUCCUCAGCCUCCUGAGUUGCUGGGAUUACAAACGUGUGCCAUCACACCCAAUUCUAUUUUUUUUUGGUGGGGGAGGGUACUGGGGAUUGAACUCAGGGGCACUUGACCACUGAGUCCCAUCCCCAGCCCUAUUUUGUAUUUUAUUUAGAGACAGGGUCUCACUGAGUUGCUUAGCUCCUUGCGGUUGUUGAGGCUGGCUUUGAACUCAUAAUCCUUCUGUAUCAGCCUCCCAAGCUGCUUGGAUUAUAGGUAUGUACCACUACGCCAGGCUUUCUUUUUUUGUAAUGUUGGCACUCAGCGUUAUAAAAUUUCCUCUUAGUACUGCUUUC